rnacentral:rRNA from 1 species
GAUGAACGCUGGCGGCGUGCCUAAUACAUGCAAGUCGAGCGAACAGACGAGGAGCUUGCUCCUCUGACGUUAGCGGCGGACGGGUGAGUAACACGUGGAUAACCUACCUAUAAGACUGGGAUAACUUCGGGAAACCGGAGCUAAUACCGGAUAAUAUAUUGAACCGCAUGGUUCAAUAGUGAAGGACGGUUUUGCUGUCACUUAUAGAUGGAUCCGCGCCGCAUUAGCUAGUUGGUAAGGUAACGGCUUACCAAGGCGACGAUGCGUAGCCGACCUGAGAGGGUGAUCGGCCAAACUGGAACUGAGACCGGGCCCAGACCCCUAGGGAGGCAGCAGUAGGGAAUCUUCCGCAAUGGGCGAAAGCCUGACGGAGCAACGCCGCGUGAGUGAUGAAGGUCUUCGGAUCGUAAAACUCUGUUAUUAGGGAAGAACAAAUGUGUAAGUAACUAUGCACGUCUUGACGGUACCUAAUCAGAAAGCCACGGCUAACUACGUG